AACGUAGGGGACAAGCGUUAUCCGGAUUUACUGGGCGUAAAGCGCCCGUAGGCGGCCUGACAAGUUGGACGUGAAAGCUCCUGGCUUAACUGGGAGAGGCCGUUCAAAACUGUCAAGCUAGAGUCUGGAAGAGGAGAGCGGAAUUCCCGGUGUAGUGGUGAAAUGCGUAGAGAUCGGGAGGAACACCCGUGGCGAAGGCGGCCGACUGGGCCGACUCUGACGCUGAGGCGCGAAGGCGUGGGGAGCGAACGGG
rnacentral:rRNA from 1 species